AUUGAACGCUGGCGGCAGGCCUAACACAUGCAAGUCGAACGAGUGGCGGACGGGUGAGUAAUGUCUGGGAAACUGCCUGAUGGAGGGGGAUAAAUACUGGAAACGGUAGCUAAUACCGCAUACCAUCGGAUGUGCCCAGAUGGGAUUAGCUAGUAGGUGGGGUAAAGGCUCACCUAGGCGACGAUCCCUAGCUGGUCUGAGCGGAUGAGCAGCCACACUGGAACUGAGACACGGUCCAGACUCCUACGUGAGGCAGCAGUGGGGAAUCUUUCGCAAUGGGCGCAAGCCUGAUGCAGCCACGCCGCGUGAAUGAAGAAGGCCUUCGGGUUGUAAAGCACUUUCAUCAGGGAAGCGUUACCUACACAGAAAGCACCGGCUAACUCCGUGCCAGCAGCCGCGGUAAUUC
rnacentral:rRNA from 1 species